AUUGAACGCUGGCGGCAUGCCUUACACAUGCAAGCCGAACGGUAACGCGGGGCAACCUGGCGACGAGUGGCGAACGGGUGAGUAAUGCAUCGGAACGUGCCCAGUAGUGGGGGAUAGCCCGGCGAAAGCCGGAUUAAUACCGCAUACGACCUACGGGUGAAAGCGGGGGACCGCAAGGCCUCGCGCUAUUGGAGCGGCCGAUGUCAGAUUAGCUAGUUGGUGGGGCAAUGGCUUACCAAGGCGACGAUCUGUAGCUGGUCUGAGAGGACGACCGGCCACACUGGGACUGAGACACGGCCCAGAAUCCUACGGGAGGCAGCAGUGGGGAAGUGUGGCCAAUGGGGGCAACGCUGAUCCAGCCAUGCCGCGUGCGGGAAGAAGGCCUUCGGGUUGUAAAACGCUUUUGUCGGGGAAGAAACGGUCUGCGCUAAUACCGCGGGCUAAUGACGGUACCCGAAGAAUAAGCACCGGCUAACUACGUGCCAGCCGCCGCGGUAAAAC
rnacentral:rRNA from 1 species